ensembl:lncRNA SDHAP1 SDHA pseudogene 1
UGCGCGGCGGCGACUACAGACGUGUCGGGGGUCCGGGGCCUGUCGCGGUUGCCAAGCGCUCGGCGCCUGGCGCUGGCGCUGGCCAAGGCGUGGCCAACAGUGUUGCAAACAGGAACCCGAGGUGUUCACUUCACUGUUGAAGGAACGAGAGGGCAUCUGCUAAAGUUUCAGAUUCCAUUUCUGCUCAGUAUCCAGUAGUGGAUCAUGAAUUUGAUGCAGUGGUGGUAGGCGCUGGAGGGGCCGGCUUUGCGAGCUGCAUUUGGCCUUUCCGAGGCAGAGUUUGAUACAGCAUGUGUUACCAAGCUGUUUCCUACCAGGUCACACACUGUUGCAGCGCAGGUUGGAAUCAAUGCUGCUCUGGGGAACAUGGAGGAGGACAACUGGAGGUGGCAUUUCUAUGACACCGUGAAGGGCUCCGACUGGCUGGGGGACCAGGAUGCCAUCCACUACGUGACGGAGCAGGCCCCCACUGCCAUGGUCGCGGUGAUGGGCGGGAGGCUCUGGGUGCUCUGGUGGUCUGUUUCUAGUACAAGAGUCCUGGAAAAAAUGUAAGCAGUUGAGGCAGAUGUGGCAGCCGAAAGAAUGGUAGAAAAUUAUGGCAUGCCGUUUAGCAGAACUGAAGAUGGGAAGAUUUAUCAGCGUGCAUUUGGCGGACACAGCCUCAAGUUUGGAAAGGGCGGGCAGGCCCAUGGGUGCUGCUGUGUGGCUGAUCGGACCGGCCACUCAAUAUUGCACACCUUAUACGGGAGGUCUCUGCGAUAUGAUACCAGCUGUUUUGUGGAGUAUUUUGCCUUGGAUCUCCUGAUGGAGAAUGGGGAGUGCCGUGGUGUCUUCGCACUGUGCAUACAGGACGGGUCCAUCCAUCGCAUAAGAGCAAAGAAUACUAUUGUUGCCACAGGGCUACUGGCGCAACUACUUGAGCUGCACGUCUGCCCACACCAGCACCAGCGACGGCACGGCCAUGAUCACCAGGGCAGGCCUUCCUUGCCAGGACCUCGAGUUUGUUCAGUUCCACCCCACAGGCACAUAUGGUGCUGGUUGUCUCAUUACGGAAGGAUGUCGUGGAGAGGGAGGCAUUCUCAUUAACAGUCAAGGCGAAAGGUUUAUGGAGCGAUACGCCCCCAUCGCGAAGGACCUGGCGUCUAGAGAUGUGGUGUCUCGGUGGAUGACUCUGGAGAUCCGCGAAGGAAGAGGCUGUGGCCCUGAGAAAGAUCACGUCUACCUGCAGCUGCACCACCUACCUCCAGAGCAGCUGGCCAUGCCCUUGCCCGGCAUUUCAGAGACAGCCAUGAUCUUCGCUGGUGUGGACGUCACGAAGGAGCCGAUCCCUGUCCUCCCCACCGUGCAUUAUAACAUGGACGGCAUUCCCACCAGCUACGAGGGGCAGGUCCUGAGGCACGGGAAUGGCCAGGAUCAGAUUGUGCCCGGCCUGUACGCCUGUGGGGAGGCCGCCUGUGCCUCUGCACAUGGUGUCAACCGCCUCGGGGCAAACUCGCUAUUGGACCUGGUUGUCUGGUCAGGCAUGUGCCCUGAGCAUCGCAGAGUCGUGCAGGCCUGGAGAUAAAGUCCCUCCAAUUAAACCAAAUGCUGGGGAAGAAUCUGUCACGAAUGUUGACAAAUUGAGAUUUGCUGAUGGAAGAAGCAUAAGAACAUCGGAACUGCGACUCAGCAUGCAGAAGGGCUGCUGGCUCGUGUCACGUUCACCACCAGACCCCACAUCAGGAGUCCCGCCAGGGGUGUGGGGAGGCAGCGCUGCCUGGUUGGCCGUGGAGCCGUAUGGAACAUGGUGCCUCACAGGCAGUCUGCUUGGCGUCCUGGAUCCUGGCUGUAUCCCGCUGGAAAGGAUUCAACGCAAAAUCAUGCUGCCGUGUUCCGUGUGGGAAGCUUGUUGCAAGAAGGUUGUGGGAAAAUCAGCAAGCUCUAUGGAGACCUGAAGCAUCUGAAGACGUUUGACCGGGGAAUGGUCUGGAACACGGACCUGGUGGAGACCCUGGAGCUGCAGAACCUGAUGCUAUGUGCGCUGCAGACCGUCAAUGGAGCAGAGGCGGGGAAGGAGUCACGGGGCGCGCACGCCGGGGAAGACUACAAGGUGCGGAUUGAUGAGUACGAUCACUCCAAGCCCAUCCAGGGGCAACAGAAGAAGCCCUUUGAGGAGCACUGGAGGAAGCACACCCUGUCCUAUGUGGACGUCAGCACUGGGAAGGUCACUGUGGAAUAUAGACCCAUAAUCGACAAAACUUUGAAUGAGGCUGACUGUGCCACUGUCCCCCCAGCCAUUCACUCCUACUGAUGAGACAAGAUGCGGUGAUGACAGAAUCAGCUUUUUGCACAGCCAGAGAACAACACAUCACACACAAGAAACAGUUGUGCUCAUGUGAUGGGGGCCUCAGCACUAGGAAGGAGUGGACUGUUGGCGCACGCAGCAGCUUGAAUAAAUCUGAAAGUCACUACGCUGCGUAAGAGAAGCCAAAUAAAGCGCAUGCUGUGUACA